GCGGGGGGCUGGACUCGAUGAUCUUCUGAGGUCCCUUCCACCCCUAAUGUCUAUAACAUUUGUUUCAGUUCACAUGGAUCCCUACUGCAAUGUAUUUUAUGCUGAAACUGAAGUUCAAAUGAAGCCAGUAUCUCUAAGGGAAUCUUGGUGUAUUUAGCACCAAGGGGAAAUAAGCUAGAGAUGGGGGAAAUCUUUUGGGAAAACUGUCUGUGUGAAGUGUGUGAAUCAAAAUGGCCCUUCCCUAGCAGAGCACUCAGUGUUUCAACUGCCACCUUUUCUUGUUUGCAGUAUUCCCAGAAGAAAUUAGAAUAGUGAAACAAGGCCUUCAUUUCCCUGCACCAGCAGGCCUAAUUAUUAACCUGGUUUGGCUUUAAGGGUAGGCAAAGUCCAUGUCUUUUUCCCCUAACAAGAAGUUAGUAAUAGCAAAAAAGCAAGUUUAAACGUGAAACAGUUGUUGUUCACAAGCAAUAAUUGUGUUCUCUCAAAAAUGGCAAUGUUCUGGAUCAUGCUGAGAGACAGCAGAGGAUGACAGGCAAUAAUUUCUGUUUGGGACCUCUUGUGUUCCAGCUACAUGGAUGUGAAAGGACUGUACAGCACAUGAAUGUUACAUCUCAUAAAUUCUGCGUGCUUUCAAAACUGCAGGGGCCAGGGUUCAUGAGGAGCUGAAUUACCUCCUUCAGCUGUGACCAAGUGGCCUAUUGGAAGCAGCUUCUAUGAAAGACAGCUGCCUAAGCAGCCUGCUUAGGUAUGGUUUCAGAAAGAAGUUGUGGACAAAGCAAUAUUGGGAGAACAAUUGCUGAGCAGAGAAGACAGGAAGCAGACCUUGGAAAUGGGAA